rnacentral:rRNA from 1 species
AACGAACGCUGGCGGCGUGCUUAACACAUGCAAGUCGAACGCGAACGUUUCCUUCGGGGAACUAGUAGAGUGGCGCACGGGUGAGUAACGCGUAAGUAAUCUACCCUCGCAUCCGGGAUAACCCACCGAAAGGUGUGCUAAUACCUGAUACGUCUGGACUUAUACAUUGAAUUCAGAGAAAGGUGGCCUCUUCAUGAAAGCUACUGUGCGGGGAGGAGCUUGCGUACCAUUAGCUAGUUGGUAGGGUAACGGCCUACCAAGGCGAUGAUGGUUAGCGGGUCUGAGAGGAUGAUCCGCCACACUGGAACUGAAACACGGACCAGACUCCUACGGGAGGCAGCAGUGAGGAAUAUUGCGCAAUGGGGGCAACCCUGACGCAGCGACGCCGCGUGGAUGAUGAAGGCCUUCGGGUUGUAAAAUCCUGUCAGAUGGGAAGAAGUGACAGUUAGCCAAUACCUGACUGUUUUGACGGUACCAUCAAAGGAAGCACCGGCUAACUCCGUG